CCGGGCGCGCGGCGGCUCGGGGACGCGCAGCUGUCUCGCCGUUCGACCCGGGAGCUCCACGUUGCAGCCAAACACGAUCCCGUUAACCAACCUUUAUGCAGUGCCUGUUGUCUAUCCGACCCUUUCUCGAGCAUCGGCUCAUUGGCAAAGGAUCGUGAUGCUCACCGGCUGGGGCUUGAGACUCGCUGUGUGACCUUGGGCAAGUGACUUAACCUCUCUGAGGUUGUCGCCAAUCCGUAAAAUAUAAUAGAGACAGGAUCUCACCGUGUCGUCCAGGAUGGGGUGCAGCGGUGCAGUCACAGCUCACUGCAGCCUCGACCUCCUGGGUUCAAGCCAUCCUCCCACCUCAGCCUCCCAAGUAGAUGGAACUACAGACAGGUGCCACCACACCCGGCUAAUUUUUAAUUUUUAAUAGAAACGGGGGUCUCACUAUGUUGCCCAGGGUGGUCUUGAACCCCUAGACUCAAGCAAUCCUCCUGCCUCAGCCUCCCAGAGCUCUGGGAUUACAGGCGUGAGCCACCGCGCCAGGCCCAGUCAUUUUUUUUUUAAAUUAUGGUAAAAUAUAUAGAACAUAAAAUUUACCAUCUUAACCUUUGUUGUUGUUGUUGUUGUUGUUGUUG
rnacentral:lncRNA from 10 species